CACAAUAAAAUAUGAAGGCUGUACGCAGCUGUGCUCUCGGGCCAGUUUUGCGGAGGCUGAAUUAUUUAUUACCCUUGACUUUUGCGCACUUGUUGUUUCCUGGGCGGGUUCGCCCGCCACCAGGACCACAUCAUAAACCUUUUUUAUGCAGUUGCAAUCAGCGUCAGUAUAACAAAUGUAAAUCAUUUA
rnacentral:misc_RNA from 1 species